rnacentral:lncRNA from 1 species
AUUUGUUUCAGUUGAACUGGUCACAACACCAGGAUUCAUCAAAGUUUCACACAAAUAAUGCUUGGUCACUUUGUCAAAAGUUCGGAGUUGCGACUUAAGCAGAUAAUAGAGAUUAUAGAUUGAGUUGGGUGGCAAAUUUACCUUCCAUCGAGGUAAGAUGGGGAAGACAGGCCGGGCAACCACUCCCCUUUCUUGGCCUCCACCUUGAAGGACCUGUAUGACGAAGAGGUCAUGGGUUUUACAGAUACUUCUCGACCCAGUUUACCGGAGGACCCAGUGAGGAACCUCGAUUUGGAGGCGCAUGGCCGGAAGACGGCGGCGGAAGCUUGGGUGGUGACAGUGGCCAUAUUUUCCGACCUGAAUUCCGGGGGAGAGAUGCGGGUUGUGACUUGUGAGGGAUGUGGUUAGACUCUGA